UUCUUCCUCCCUUUUGCAUAUCAAUAAGCGGAGGAAAAGAAACCAACAGGGAUUGCCUCAGUAACGGCGAGUGAAGCGGCAAAAGCUCAAAUUUGAAAUCCCCCCGGGGAGUUGUAAUUUGAAGAUUGCGUCUUGGAGGCGACCGUGUCUAUGUUCCUUGGAACAGGACGUCACAGAGGGUGAGAAUCCCGUGCGGCACGGCCCCCGGCUCCUUAUAAGGCGCUCUCGACGAGUCGAGUUGUUUGGGAAUGCAGCUCAAAGUGGGUGGUAAAUUCCAUCUAAAGCUAAAUACAGGCGAGAGACCGAUAGCGAACAAGUACAGUGAUGGAAAGAUGAAAAGCACUUUGAAAAGAGAGUGAAACAGCACGUGAAAUUGUUGAAAGGGAAGGGCAUGCCGUCAGAUUGUCAGUGUGGGUAAGAAGCGGGGUACAAAGACUGUGGAACGUGGCCCUCGGGUGUUAUAGCCGCAGUUCAUGCCCCGUCUCUUUCCGAGGCCUGCUUUGAGGACACCGACGUAAUGACGGUACGCCGCCCGUCUUGAAACACGGACCAAAUUUUUUUAUCGU
rnacentral:rRNA from 1 species